UGCACUAGAGGGUUGUCGCGUAUCCUGACGGGCUUUGCGACAGCCGUAUGUUUAACCGACCUUUUAGGAGAUCAAUAGUGGCCCGUAUUGCUGGCAUUAAUGUGCCUGAU
rfam:Succinatimonas hippei YIT 12066 genomic scaffold Scfld1069, whole genome shotgun sequence.